ACGAACGCUGGCGGCGUGCUUAACACAUGCCAGUCGAACGGAAAGGCCCUGCUUUUGUGGGGUGCUCGCGUGGCGAACGGGUGAGUAACACGUGAGUAACCUGCCCUUGACUUUGGGAUAACUUCAGGAAACUGGGGCUAAUACCGGAUAGGAGCUCCUGCUGCCUGGUGGGGGUUGGAAAGUUUCGGCGGUUGGGGAUGGACUCGCGGCUUAUCAGCUUGUUGGUGGGGUAGUGGCUUACCAAGGCUUUGACGGGUAGCCGGCCUGAGAGGGUGACCGGCCACAUUGGGACUGAGAUACGGCCCAGACUCCUACGGGAGGCAGCAGGGGGGAAUAUUGCACAAUGGGCGGAAGCCUGAUGCAGCAACGCCGCGUGCGGGAUGACGGCCUUCGGGUUGUAAACCGCUUUCGCCUGUGACGAAGCGUGAGUGACGGUAAUGGGUAAAGAAGCACCGGCUAACUACGUG
rnacentral:rRNA from 1 species